UACGUAGGGUGCAAGCGUUAAUCGGAAUUACUGGGCGUAAAGCGUGCGCAGGCGGUUAUGUAAGACAGAUGUGAAAUGCCCGGGCUUAACCUGGGAACUGCAUUUGUGACUGCAUGGCUAGAGUUUGGCAGAGGGGGGGUAGAAUUCCACGGUGUAGCAGUGAAAUGCGUAGAGUAUGUGGAGGAACACCGGAUGGCGCAAGGCAGCC
rnacentral:rRNA from 1 species